UACGUAGGGUGCAAGCGUUAUCCGGAAUUAUUGGGCGUAAAGAGCUCGUAGGCGGUCUGUCGCGUCUGCUGUGAAAUCUGGGGGCUCAACCCCCAGCCUGCAGUGGGUACGGGCAGACUAGAGUGCGGUAGGGGAGAUUGGAACUCCUGGUGUAGCGGUGGAAUGCGCAGAUAUCAGGAGGAACACCCGUAGCGAAGGCGGCACUCUGGGCCGAUACUGACACUGAGGAGCGAAAGCGUGGGGAGCGAACAGG
rnacentral:rRNA from 1 species